rnacentral:lncRNA from 1 species
AUUUCCACUUGAAGUUUUUCCCUGCCAGUUUUUUUUUAAUACUGAUCGCCCAGCGUGAAAUGAAACACAAAUCCUUCGUUGAUCAGCCGAAUCGGCAUUCUGUCGGUGCGGGUGCUGUGUGCUUCUUUCUCUGUUUAUCUGACACACACAACUUGCAUUGUGCCGAGGGCAUAUCAACAUGCAUUUGCAUGCUGUGAAUAAUUCAAGUCUCCUAUGAUGCUUUUGUGCCUGAAAUGACUGUUACACUCAAUGAUGCAUCUAGCCUUGAAAGUACUAAUAAUGGACUAAGAUGCAUGAAUUAGAACCAGCUAUCCUUCAGGCACUUAUUCAGCCCCAAGACAGUUUUUGGUACUGUUCGAUGGCCCGUGCUCUAAUCCCUGGACCCUGGUCCAAUAUUCCGAUUCCCCAAAUGUGCUCUAAUACCUCAAAAGCAAAUUUCAGAGUCCUCAAUUGUGAUGUUGCGAUUUUGUAUGAUGCAUUAACAUUAAUGCGUAGUUGGCAGAUCACAACGGAUUGAAUUGUAAGAGUAAAUUUCACAGAAUCACAGGUUUUGAAGCAGUCUUCUCACGGAGCACUGGUAGAUGCUAAUUUGUCCACAGAACCACAACUUGUUUGUCUAAUUGUCUCAGUCUACCCAAAACACGUGUUUAAACUCCUUUGACACUAUUUCUUACAGGCGGGGCCCGCACGUCAGGCGUCUCAUCUUUUUCAUCAGACCCCUCGUCUUUUUCUUUUUUUCCUCAUUGCCCAGCCGCUCUGCCCGGCCGCCGCCCUACUGCCCGCCGCGUGCCCGCCGGCCUACCGGCCGCCUCGCCCCGCUGCCGCGCCUGCUGCCCACCCGCCCCGACCUCGCCCGCCACUUCCGACAACUCCACAAGCGCGAGCGCAACAAGAAGCUCUGGCGCCUCCGCAGCCUCAGAAGAGAUGGAACAGGACGAGGCUGACAAGGCGAGGAAAAAAAGAAAAAGACGAGGGGUCUCAUGAAAAAAUGUGACGCCUGACGUGCGGGCCUCACCUGUAAGAAAUAGUGUCAAACGAGUUUAAACCCGUGUUUUGGAUGGACUGAGACAAUUGGACACAAAAGUUGUGGUUCUGUGGACAGAUUAGCAUCUACCAGUGCUCCGUGAGAAGGCUGACUCAAAACCUGUGGUUCUGUGAAAUUUACUCGAAUUGUAACGGAGACUAAGUUUGUCUGAUUUGCUCGCAGAACAUCAGUUCAGUUGGUUGACAAUCGGGAUACCAUGGAGUGUACUACUGUUCAGUUGGAAACAGAUGAAGCUGUCUGCAGGAACUUUCAGAACAUGGAAUGUAUAGCUACAAAUGCAUGUAAUAUUCCGAACUCUAUGUACAGAACUGAAUUUCAGCAACUGAACAUACAUCUUCUCAGUUAGCUUACUAUAAUAGUCGACAUACAAAAAGGGAUAUAUUGAAUAUUCUUGAGCAUUUGAAUACACUGCACAUUUGCAAGAGGUUACAAGCAUCGGUCAUGGCAUCAUCUGAUCACCAUAUGGCCAUCUGCAAGAGAGCUGAUCAAAGUGAGCUCUUGAGACAGAAAAGAGAGGCGGCAUCAGGGAGACAUGGAGCUUGCUUUCAAUUCUGAACAGCGAGCGUGCACAAACGCACAGUCACCGAAACCGAUAAAAUCAUUCACAGGGAGGAGCUGGCUGAGAGAUAGCGCAAUCUUUGCUUCAAUGCUAAGGCUUUGUGUGUGACUUUAAUUUGGAUCACGGCCUUUAGCUGAUAGAGCACACAUUUAGCUAUUGAUCUUGCAAAAGCAGCCUUUCAUUUGCAGUCCAACUCCGAUGCGUCAUAUUCACGGGCGAACGUUAACCGAGGAGAAUCAAAAGUCGAUCAGGAGCAAAAGAAGGGAAAGUAAUGUGCUUUUUCAAAAGAUAUGAAAUUUGAUUGCAGUCGUUCGAAGAUAAGAACACCGGCCGGAUGAGGUGAUAAGCAGUCUACGGAUAUAUUUCGUGCCGUCUCCAUUGUACUCACUCAAUCCUCCAAAUUUUCUACGGAUAGUGCUAUUGCUUUCUUGUGCUCUUUCUACCCCUUUGCAAGUUCCGCUCAAAAUAAACUACUCCCUCUGAUCCAUAAUAAGUGUCGCUGAUUUAGUACAAAGCGACAGUUAUUUUGGAUCCGGUGGAUUACUUCUUAGUGAAUUAAUUGGGUGAAAAAAGGAGGAUUGGUGUUUGAGACUCAAGGGAGGUAUAUUAGAAGUUUUACUUUUUUUUUGCUAGAAUAUUACAAGUUUUACAACGAUUUGCCCACUGAUACCAUGCGGCGAAGGGCAUGCGUAAAGGUCGGUGCAGCUAUUGCCUCUUCACUGUUGUAUCAAGAAAACCCGAAGUUAAGUAGAAGCGUAUAACGCAUGUUCUUGAGGACUAACUCUGAAGCGUUUACAUUCAGAACUCGGUUACAUUGGUCGAUCGUCGAAAGAAACUAUAGUGUGAUCAUCGGAGAUGCUUGUUUAGUAGGGAGUGGAGAGAGAGAGUCACACACAUCGGAGUCUUUUUUUUUUGACAGAAAACAUCGGAGUCAACUGGGCGAAAAGAAGGGGGAAGACAAAAACAAAGGAGAAUGAAACUCUCCUAUUGCAUUUUUUUUACGACAAUGGAUGUUGCCUGUUGGUGGUAGAACGGGCUGAUAUGGGUUUACCCGAACUGAAGCCGGAAAAAGCCCACCGAGAAUAACAGGAUGGUACAGUUUUUGUUUCCCGGGACACGCUCGUGGGCCUUAGCCGGUCGGCCAUCUGCAGAAGGGCUGAUCUUCGUUUGCGCGAAAGAGAAGUGAACGGGCUCGCUCGCUCGCUGGUUGUGCCGGGCCGUGCGUGAGAUGGGCCUGCGUACCUGGGGUGCUUUUCCGUGCGGCUUACGAACGUACAACUCGGCCCACGCCGACGAGGCUUCCAUCUGGGCCUCUGGGGAGGGCGACGGGAAGGACGAUAACGGCGGGACACCGGCCACCAGACGACAGGACAAAAGGAGGAAUCGGACGGCGGAAAAGGGGCUGCCGUGGCGCCGAGUUCAUGCACCAAAUCGACCGACUCACCGCAAGACGCGGUUGCUUAUUAUCCGUGCCGCAUGAGGCACCGUUUGUUUGGUUGUUUUUUUAGAGUACCGGUACAAUGUCCGUGCGAAGUCACGGGGUCGAUCUCCUGAAAUCUGACACACCCCGAUCCCAAGUAAGUGAAACGGAAGCACGCGCGUGCGACGCAGAAUCCACAGGCCUUGAUCUCACUCAAAUUUGAGGGUAGACGGACUUGAAGACGCGGCGGAGGAGGCCGCAGGAGUCGUGCGUCCAGAGGUCCGCGUCGGCGGCGGCAUCCUCUCAGCUGCCGACGUGUUCCUCAUUGGCGGCGAUGGCCGUGGAAGGGUAGCCGAGGAGGAAGGACUGGUGGAUCUGCGCCUGGAGAAGCGCGAGCGUCAUUAGGGCCGACCGAGAGGAAAUCAGCGGCGGCGGGGUUGGGGGAGAAUUCAGCGACGGCGUCGGUUAGCCGAGGAGAAGCCGGAGGUGGCGCCGCGCCGCAGUGCGACCGUGCGAGGGGAUGAGGAGGAGUGGAGGCAGGGCAAAAUUGCAAGAAAACCCAGUUUUUGCAGAAAAUCCCAAUUCUGUCCGCAACCUGGGCUUCGAGUUGAUUCUCCAAAAACGGAAGGGGUAAAAUGCAAAUUGGCCGACGGACCGACGACGAAGGAAGCCUUACUGCUUUUAUUGUUUGGUUAGAUUAGAUUAGAUUAGAUUAUCCAAUCUAAAAUGAAAAACAUUAGAACCCGAAUAGAAAAGAUUUAGACAGGAUAAUCUCUAGUUUCCCUACAAAACAUUCCUUUUUUUAUCAAAUUAAAACAUUUCUCAAACAAAACUCUACUGUUUUGGGUUUUUAAAGAGUUUUGGAUAAAUCAAAACACUAGUGAUUAAAAAAAUACACUAACACCAAACAAAUUUGAUUAAAACAUUUGUGAUAUGGACAUUUUAAGGGUCCAGCUUAUGAAUUUUUUUGGUCUUUUUUGUGUUCCUAUUUGGUUGCAGAUGAGGGAUUUUGACUUAAACGAGUGUCCUGUCGAACUCAAUAUUGCUGUUGGGACUGAGGAAGGGUAUGGAACAACUUUAUUCCCAUUGUAUUGCACCCAAAAACUGCCUAACAAAGAUACCCAUCAGCAUGAUGGUGAUUGUGGUGAGUCCCAUAAUGCAAAUGCAAAUGCAGUGGACAAUUUGAUUCACGAAGGGCAUGUUGGGCAGUUUGAGUCUUCAUCAUUAAACCAGCAAUCGAUUGAUGCCCCUGGAGAAGUGCAUAUUGAAGAACAAUAUGAUGGUGAAGAAGCUUUGUCACAGCCCCAAGAGCCUUUCCUAGGAAUGAGAUUUGAUACUUUGUUGUGUGCUCGUAACCACUACAAUGCUUAUGCACUGAAGCUUGGGUUCUCAAUAAGAUCAAACACUUCUAGGAGAUCGUUCUACACAAAUGAAGUUGUGAAACAGCAGUUUGUUUGCAACAAGUUCAGAAAGCCUAAACCUGAAGGUAGCAAUACACAUAAGCCUAAAGUUGCUCCUGCUAUUUGCUCAGAAUCUGGAGGGGAUAGCGAUGAGGAAUCUGAACUUGAUGAACAUGCUUUUGCUAAAGGCAAGAAAGUAGUGAAAAAGAGAAGAAGAGAAACAAUUAAACAAACCAAUUGCAAAGCACGGAUGAUGGUGAAGCUAAUAGAUUCUAGGUGGGAAGUAACAUAUUUCAUUGGUGAGCACAAUCAUCCUUUGAUUGCAAAGCCAUCCCUCACGAAGUAUCUCCGUUCGCAUUAGGGUAUAUCCAAGGAGGAAGAAGAGUUUUUGUCAGUUCUACAUGAUUGCAACGUCGAGACAGGUGAUAACCAGCUUUUGCCCAUUGUGUUCCCUAAUAGUUGCCCCCCUUUUACUAGUUGUAUGUUAAACUUGCCAAAAUGUACGUUUAGGAAAAGCAAAAUUGAACAGGAAAAUUCCACUUAUUUUGGGAGGCAAAAUUUAGCAACAAGUUUACAAAAAAUCAAAAAAUUGAGCCCCAGCAGUGUAAAAAAGCAACUUACAGUGCUAUGCAAGGCUGCUUUUUUGUGAAAAGCAAUUCACAUUGGGUAUGCUGAAAAAACCUACCCAUCGACAAACAGAAAGGAUCAAAAUUUACUUCCGCAAUUCUUUUGUGUACAUGCACACUAAAAACUUGGAACAAACACCAAAAAAAGACACAGUUAGCUUCCAAGGCUGGAAAAAAAGCACAAGCAGAAAAGUUAGCCGCUGGACUGCAUAAAUGAGCUGAGAACGCGAUUUUAGAAUAACUUACAUGCAAAUUCCCAUAAACUCCAGGUCCUUUCAUAUCUUGUUGGAUCACUCUGUUUAUGGCUUGCGUCGUCUAUGCUUGGAUACGCACAGGGCAGUUGCUCAAGGGCUCGUCGGUGAUCAGCGAAUCGAGAUAAUAGAUCUGGAAAUUAGUUUAAGUUCAGUUAUGAGUUUAGAUUAAAAAAAAAGAAGGAAAAAUGCAGGAAAAAUGAAUCCUACUAAAUAAGGAAAGAGUUUUGAUAAAGCUUACGAAAAGGUGAUACACGCAGCACCGGACUGAGUUCUUUUCAUCACCCAACUUCUUAAAAGCUAUUUGUAGUUGAUCAACUACGAACUGACAGAAAUUUAAGUUGUCAACAACAUCCAAAUUUAUGAAGGACGGGUAGCACCGUGGGCUGUGUUUCAGGCCUAUAGUUGGGCAAAGAAAGCAGGACAUUGCGGUGAUCAGACAGGCCCUGAGAAACUUGUCAUCUGCUUCCUUCAUUUCGCCAAUCAUUUUGCACCAAGCUGUGAUAUCUGGUGAUGAACCUUUUUCGAAGCCAUACUCUUGGAUGAUGAAAUCUGUGGCUUCCUGGUUCAUCACAUAGUUGACUUUCCCGCCUUUGUUUGGCAAUUUAAACAAUUUGUACACACUGUCAGCCGUUAUUUCGAUGAUACCCCUCUCAGUAACAACCAAUUCUGAUAACUCCGAGUUGUAGCAGCUCAUCACAAACUUACAGAACUCUGCUGGCAUUGUGUGAGAAGGCAAAAAUAGUAAGCCACCAAAAUGCCUCUUCCUGAUCAAUGCCUUCUGAUCGGGUGUUAGAUCUUUGUUAAUUUUGUAGAGCCUAGCAGGAGAUGCCAUGUUCCUCCCGACCUAAAGUAUUUACCAAACAAAGCAGAAAUAAAAGGUUAGAUCAAGAAAAUAAGCAAGCUAAAUGAGAUUGUAAUAAUGUAGUUAGCAACUUUAAACAAACAUAAAAAGGUUGCCACCUAUUUUUUAGCAAACUACGUGAUUCUAUUACUUCUUUCUCUGUUCUCCUGGGGGGUACGCAUUUAGCAACCUGUGCAUCUACAAUCUCUUUGACAGCUUCAUUAGGGGCCUUGGCGACAUUCCCUCCUAUGGGAGCCUCAUCAAUAGUUGCCUCGCCAACAGUUGCCUCCGUGGGAGCCUCAGCGACAGAAGUCUCGCGAGAACACUGCAUGUAAAAAACAAGUUAAAUAAUUACUAUGGGUUCCUAAAAAAGCAAAAACAAAACAAAACAAAACAAAACACAAGAACAUAAAAAUGUACCUCUAGGGAUAGCAUAGCAACACCGCCUGCUAUGCCUCCCACGGGUUCUACUAUGGCUUUAGAAUUGCGUCUCCUGCGGCGAUGGAUUAAACCCCAGUUUCAUCGUCUUCAGGUCCUUCCUCGAUAAUGUUCAUUAUAGCUCCUGCAGAAAAAAGGGAUGCAUAAAUAUGCAGAAUUUUCUGUGGCUAGUUUACAGCACUAUAUAAACAACCCAACCCAAUGAGUGAAAAAAAUGGACAUACACAGUUACUGAUCAACCUGUAAAAAAUGGGAAAAUGUAGACAUAGCAUAGCUCAUUUAACAACUUCUAAUUCAGCACAGGUUUAUGCCCUGAACCUGGGAACUAAAAAUCACCCCCUAAAUGUGGACAAAUGUGUCAAAAGUUUGCCUAAAAAAAUGGGAACAGUAAUGAUUCUCCUAUAGAAAGCAACUCCUAAAACACAGUGUUGCAUCCUGAUAAAACACCUGGAACAAAAAUAUAAGUGCCCCCACUAAGAAUUGCCAUUAAAAAGCAACUCCUAAGAAUUUGCCUAACCAACAGUAAGGGGCAGGUAAAAAAAUGCAAAAUCCCCCUAAAACAAAAGGCAAAAAGAGACACAAAAAUCACUUAUGAUACUCCUAGAAGCAACUCCCUGAGAAAAAUUUGCCCAGUAGAAGCAACUACCUGAACAAAUUUACGAUACUCCUAUAAGCAACUCCCUAAGAAAAAAUUGCCCAGUAGAAGCAACUACCACAAAUUUACCCCAUAUACAUGCACAGUAGAAGCAACUUCCUGAUAAUUUGCUACGGACAAAAACAUGACAUAAGCAACUUAGAAUGCUCUGCUGAAUUAGAAGUUGCCAUAUGCAAUUUAGGGCCCAAAAAGACCCGUCAAAAAAGUGGUCAGCACUGAACUAGGUCCAAAAAUUCCAAUCCAAUUCCAACUGAUUUGGUUACGGUUGGAAUUGGCGCAGAUUAUGCAGAUUAAACAUCUCCCAGACGUCUACCCCCCAAUAUCCAUGGCACCCUAAUAUGAGCUAAUCGCUAGCCUGAAGCAUCUACUAGGGAUUCAUCUACUGUAGAUGGUGUGCGCGCAUGCUCGAGUUUGGGUAUGUUGAGGAGAGAUGUGCAAGGAGGGGGGCUAACCGUAGAUGUUGCGCGCGCGCUCGCUGCCGCAGUCGAUGCGUCCCGCCUCGUGUAGUCGUGCUAGCUGCGCCAGCGGUGGUCGAUGUGCCCGCCGGGGUCGCCCUCCUGGAGCCCUCAGCAACGCGCCCUACGGCAUGCAGGAGCCCCCGUGCACCCCCAUAAUAUUGCCGGUGAAAACUCGCUCCUCGCCGAAACCCUUGCCCCCGCCGCCUCUGGCAAAACUCGGCGCCGAUGUCACCUCCGACCGUCCCGGCACUGUCGACGGCCUUGUUGCUGUUCCGCUGCGCCUCGCCGACACGAAGCUCGCCGGAAUCGCCGAUGCAAAAUCGCGCGCGCGCGAGAGCGAGAGAGAGAGAGAGAGAGAGAGAGAGAGAGAGAGAGAGCGGUGGGGUUCGCGAGGGGGGAAUGGGGAACGGGAAAGCGGAAGAGACAACAGCGCGUCCCCCAAAGCUUUGAAAAAAAAGAGCUUAACAGGUUGACACGUGGGGCCCGCCCGACCGACGGGGGAGGCUGUCUUAACUGCAUCGCGCGGCGCGGAAGCGCCAGGGUGAAUCGGACGGCUUCCAACGUGCGCGCCCGUUCGAAGCGAAAAGGGCAUAAGCACUUUCGGAUAAAACAAAGAGUACACAAGGAACCUACCCAACUAGCAGUAACUUCAAAGUCCACAAAAUGUUUUGCCAUAAACGAUACUAUUUCCACUGGCAUUGACAGGACACAGGACCUUGGGAGUACAGGAUAUGAUUCACAGCAGUCAGCAUACUGCAUCGACCGACCGAUAUGUAUCUUCACAAUGAAUGCAUAUCACCCCACACUGUAAACAACCAACCCUGCUGGCAGGCAAGCCAGAGAAUUCACCUGCAGUCACCCCCCAGCGGUCGAGCUAGCGGACAGGAGUAGAUACACACCACGGAAACUCACAAAUCAAUCGCCAAAGCCACUGGAUCAGCAGGAAGCAGUAAUUAAUGGCAAAGCUUACAUGUCAAGUCAAUCAGAGCAGUGUGUGACUGUGUGGACCCUGGACCCAGCAACAAGACACAGAUACUAUCAUUAUGCAGCACGCGUUGUAUAUGUGUCUUUCACCGAGUUCGUGCCAAUUUGUCUAAUUGUCUGCCCCAUAAUCUGCGUGGCCCGGUAGUAUGUGUGUCUGCGGCUCUGCGUUGCCAUGCCUUGUGCUGUGCAGAGGAUUAAAUUGCAGCUUCAGGUGUAAAUAUGCCCGUCGCAGGGACAGCUCCGAAAUCCGAGGUGCGGACGAGCACCGUGGGCCAGCGACGACGACCACGCUCCAAAGUCUCAUCAUUUUUUCCGAACAAAGGGUAGAAAGUAACUUUAAAUAGCAACAUGCAUAUGUUAUUAGUUUAAAUUACUGUCUUCAUAAUGCCUUCAAACUUAUAUAUGGAGUCCUGCAUUGUGUCAUUAAUUAUGUUGUAAACUCAUCUUAUUUUUUUUUUACGAAACAGCCACAACGACCUAUUAUUUAUUGCCACCGAAGGUCGGAGAGAAUCCAACCGGAAGGUUACAUGUAGGAAAGAGAAACACCAGAGCUUGGAGGCAGGAACAGAGGAAAUAAAGGAAAAAGAUUAAAGCACAUCAUCGGGUCCUGAAACAAGAGCAACUAGACCUAUUAGCACUAGUUGCGCCUCAACAUCUUCAAAAAAGACAAUCUUCCGGGCAGCAGUAGAACCCUUGCAAUUGGAACAACGAUUCCCAUUCCGCGGCGACUUAUAACGAUCAUUUGCUGGCCCCUUUCCAUCAGCGCCUCUUUUAAGCAUUUCAACAAAAUAAUGCCGACCACGUGCUGCAGCUGCAUGAGGCAUCCGCUCAAAAAAGGAGCAUUUCAUACUAAACAUCAAAGUGUAACCAGGAACAACCGGGCAAAGAACGCCGGACUUCAAGAUCCUAACACGCAAAGGGAUGCAAUGUAUAUCAAAUGGGUGUCUCCUCACCAACCGCCUCGAGCUCCGCAGCUGUGAAAUCCAAAGCUGCAAGGUCGAUCUGAGCCUUUCCACGAAGGCCAGUCAGGACGCUCAACGCUUCGAUCACCUUCGGCGUGAGCGGCUUCUUGUACAUCUCCAAGUAGGUGGCCAUCUUAUUCUUUGCCUCAUGAUCUCCUUUCGCCUCCUUAUCACCCACCUCUGAAACCUCCCCAAAGGCUUCCAUCAACCUAUGCUCAGCGCGCUUGGCAAUAGGGAUGUUGCAUUUCUUGUUCUUCUGAACCAGGCGGCCACUACGGCGAGGGGUGCUGUCCACGCGCACCUGCGCUGGCAUCGGGGUCCCAAGCAAGGAGGGAGGCCUGACACAGGUGACCUUGCUGAUCAACUCUUCCACAGUGAUUGGUGGCACCUCCUCUUGCACAACAUUAGUCUCAAUGUGCAUCCCUCUUUCUUGGGGAUCUACUCCUGCACAACCUUCUCCAACGGCCUUCAUCAUGCGCCUUGCAUCGAAGGAGAUGGCCUUCUUGGGUGUUGGCGUCUUCUCAUGGACAAAUAGAGGCUGAGGCAGGUAUGGUUCAGCAAGCACACUUGCCACCUCCUCCAUGGGCUGAGACACAACCUCACAGCAAAUCAGAGCUUCAACAACCAUUGGGUCCUCCCCCAAGCAGUCCCCGCAGCAUUGCAGGCUACCAAUCAAGGGAGACACCAUGUCCAGCACUUCCGAAAAGCAAGCAGGCUUAGCAAGGGGAAUGGAAGCUUCAGUAACCAUUGGAUCUUGCCAAGGAGGGUCGUUGCGGUUGUCGAAGAGAAGCAGACAAGUUGGCAUACAAUCGACAAUAGGGUCAUGGAAAACAGCAGCUUCGCGCAUGGCCGAGCACAACAGAGGUUUGGUGGCGAGCUCACCAGAUAUCCUUGCAACCGGGGCAUGGAGAGCAUGAGGCUGCUGUCGAGGGCUAUGACGGGUGGGGCAAGAACUGGCAAUAUGACCAUUCUUCCUGCAGUUGAGGCAUCUCACAGGGUAUCUGCACUGGGCCACGCGAUGAUCAGACGCAAGACACCGCAAACAUUUGUUCCAGAAAGUCUUCCGGUAACGCUCGACGGCAGCCUGCGAAGGAGGUGGUCGCUGCACGGCAACAACAGGAGCAGAGACCAGACGCCCAGACUUCAACUCUCUCCACCAACCCUUGGGUUUGACAACCUCCCACGGAGACCCCCCUUGGUUAACAGCAGACUUGGAGGGAGGGGCCGACAGCGAAGGGUCUCCAGCAGCAGGGCCAUCCACCGGUCUUCCUGCGAGGCCCACCGCCGAGGGGGCGUGACGUGCGCAAGCAGAACCGGCUGGGAGAUGGAAACCGUCAUGGCAGACAGAGCAGCGUCCACUGUCCGCGGACCCGAUUCAGGCAUGGGGGCGGCGCAAAGUACCUGGGGCGUCGCUAAUGAGGAAGCUCGGGGCAGCACAGCCACAGGGGACGGCAGGUCGACCUCAUCCUCUGCAGAAAGGGGUGGAUCUUCGUCGCCGAAGGAGCCCCAAUCGAGUUUCUCGGGAGAAUCCUCAUCUGGAUCUGAAAAUUCGCAAGGGCUAGAGGAGCAGCGAAUGGAGGGAGAUGGAGAGGCUGCUGUGGGUGAGGAGGCCAUAUGGCAUGGCUGGGAGGUGGAGGCGUGAGGGCGUGGGGAGGCGGAGGCGUGGGUGCUUGGGGAGACGGAGCUACGCGGUGGCCGCGGCCGCCGCCGCGGAGUUGCCAGACGCGUCGCAGGGGCUCAUAGCAGCGGACACUCGUCUUAUCUUGAUGUGUAAUGGCAGUGUUUGGUUGGGGAAAUCAAGUGGAACGAAGUGGAAUGGUUCCAGUUUUGAAGGUGGUUUCAGCGUUUGGUUGAAAGAACGGAGAAAAUUGGCAUGGAACGAAAUGGUUCCACGGUUGGGAAUAUACCCCUCAGAUUCGGAACGAACCGAUUCCUAAAAAAACAAGGAAUCAUCUCGUUCCACCUCUCUCGCGCGAAAGAUUGGACUCCUGGCCCUCUCUCUUUCUAUUCUCACCCGGCGCUCUCUCUCCCAUGGCGGCUGCCCCUACUUCCACCCCCCACAGAUUUGGGCGCCACACAACCUCCGGACUCCCUCAUCGGCCAAAUCUGGUCCAAGCCUACGGCGGUGGAGGAGGGAGACGACGUGGAAGCAGUUUCGGUCGGCGGCGACGGAGGAAGGUCGUGAAGGGGAGAGGAGGCCGGCAACUUGGAGGAGAACGACGAGGUCUACCCGGUGGAGUGCGUGACCGCAUUCAAGACGGGCGAGGAGUUCACCUACUUCCUGGAGCGGUCAAGGGCGACGGGCACGCUGUUGGUGGUGGACUUCUUCCGGUCAUCAUGUGGCAGCUGCAACUACGUCGAGCAGGGCUUCAUGAAGCUCUCAAGCGCUCCGGCGACGACGGUUACCCCGUCAUCUCCCUCAAGCACAAGUGCACAACGUCUUGUUGGUUGGUAAUAAUUGAUUUGGAGCGGCCGAGUACUAAUUCCGUAAAUGUAGAGCAAGCUUAAUUAGCUUUCCUUCCAACGAGCCCUAAAUUAACGAAACAACAUCUUCAUUCCAUAACAAUUGAUGCUCUUCCAUGAAUGUGUUGUAUGGAAACAUUAAUACUGGUUCUUCUUAUAUCAGCUCUACUAUUUUGUUAUGGUUGAUAUAUGAUUAUGUAAAAAUUGUUGAUGUGAAAAAUACAAAAUAAGUGCGGACAUUUUUUUAUUAUUGUAAAAAUUAUAUAAAUAGCUAUAUUCUCAUGCUCACAGUCAUAUUGAUAAUCUCACCAGAAGUGAGUGCAUCUUGACCAUCUCAUUUCAUCUUCUCAACCAAACACAAAAUGGAACCAUUUUACUCCGUUCCAUCUCCUCAACCAAACAAAAUUCACAGCCGUUCCAUCUCCUCAACCAAACACCAAACCGGAACCUAUAAGAAUGGAACGGAACGGAAUGGAAUGGAACGGUUCCAUUCCAUUCCACACCACUCUAGAACCAAACACAGCCUAUCUUGAUUCGUGUGAUGUUAUGGUAACAUAUCAGUUACCACAAAUCCAUCUCUUUUUUCAUUUAUUGCCAUGCCAUGUCAUCCAAAAAUGACUAGUUGGCAUCUAUGUUACUACGCUAGCCAGCAACACCAUUAUCCGUCAAAUUAACAAAACGUUGUAGGUACGUGAUCCACGCAGAAUUUAAAUUCGGGUCGCGAGCCUGUCGAUCGGUACGGUUUCUUGUCUCUACGUGAUUAAAUUAGCUGACAUUAAAGUUUGGAUCGAUCGCGAGACUCGUAGUACUACUCGUAGGAAAGAACGUAUUUAUUGUGCGUGAUACUGAAUCCAGUCAUUCAGACCGCGAGCUCAUCAUGGAACAGUACACCAUCCGGGGCCCCUGCCUGUGCCUGCACGCGUUCACUGCAUGAAGUUUGUUGCAGCGCGCGCUGCGCCUUAACUCGCUUGCCGCCAGACCCGGUCAUGAUGGCCCGUCGGCCGUGGAUCGGUCCUGCGUCCAGAGCUAAACAAAAACGUGAGCUCAUUUGCUCUUGCCUGCGCGGCGGCCCGGCCCUAUCGAUCUGUCGUAGAGCGUGCGUGCACCACUGGAUGAAGUGUGGCAUGCAGUUGCUUACUGUCAAAAUGCGUCAUGAUCGAUCGAGCCAUGAGGUAAGCAGACACGAGGAACAAAAUCCGUAGCUGUAAUGUAAUGACUGAUGACCACACAUCAUGGCACAUUCUCAGUCUGGUACUGCGUUCGUACUGCAGAAUUUUGACAUAUCCAUCCCAUUUGUCCCCGGCCCCCUGGCUACGUACGUACUGGACCUCCGGAGCUGGAGUAGCUAGCCAUGUGCAUUGCUUCUCCAAUGCGUAUACAUUGUCAUAGACUGGUAGCUAAUACGGCGGCUGAUAGGUGCGUCCAACGACCGAAGUUCUGAAAACAAGGCCUUAGAUCGAUCUAGCUGCUAGCUAAGCUGCAUACUUGACGCGCAGGGGAAAUUAGCAUAUGUAUGCAGAUCGUCGUACGUGUUUACACCGGCAAAAGCUAGCUAGCGUGCAUGCAGUUCAUCAUGAAACGACCACCAGGACCAGACUAACUAACUUAGAGCUACCGUAGCUACAUGCCAUAUACUAUGUGCACGCACAUGAGUCACGAAAUUGGCCCAUCGCCCCUAGAAUUCAGCACAUUCACGACGGUAUCUGAAUGCAUGGAGCCACCGAGUAUGCAUGUCUUUGAAUGAAUUGAAGCACCAACCGGCCGGCCGGGGCCAGACUAAUUCAAGCCGCGGGGCACUUGCUGCCACUGCGCCGUUCCUGGAUCGCAACCCAACCUUGUCUUGCCUUGCCUUGGGUUUCCAGCUACUCCAGUAAGCUGCAUCCUGACAACUAGGUCCUCAUGACGCCCGGCGCGAGAUCCUGCAGGCUAGCUAGCUGCGGCUUGAUUGAUCCGCAGCCAAAUAUUGGCAGCGCCUGCGUCGAUCUGCUGCAGGCAAGGCAAUGUAGGUUUUAGCACUCAGAUAGUCAGAUGUCAGCAGUUAUUAAGCGUCUCCUCAUUUAUACAUGGGUUUGACGGUUACCACUUGAAUUCGCGCUCACUAGCUAGCUCUGACACUGAAUGGGGGGAGGAAUUUUGGCUGCUCGAUCAGGAGGGGGGUUCACAGCCAGGCUACAGGUUCAGGCUCUCUGUCCCAAAUCCUCGGAUGCAUGCAUGAUUGCCUGCUUGCUUGCUUUGGACCUGCUACGACUAGCAGUAGCGGUUAGGAUGGGGCGCGCAUUGUGCUGCGGUAGGUACAGUAAUAUCUGUAGGUGACACACUCCGCCGCUGCUGAUUUACAGUCCUCUCAACUCCUGCUAGAUCCCCUCUCUAAAUAACUGGCUGUCAAGUUCAACUAUCGAUUUUGACCUGCGUACGUGGGGUGCGUGAUUCCAAGUGUUAUGGGACGAAUUUAAUUGUAGCUUACUACUCCCUCCGUGCCAAAUUAACUGUCGUGGAUUUGCAUAAGAAUCUAUUUCAAUUAAUUCGGGACGGAGGGAGUCCUAUUUCAGUUCAGCUUCUGAAAGUUGAGACACGAAUUAUAAUCCUCAAUUCCUCAUGCAUUUCCGGCCUUUGGGCUGGUAUCCUUGAUCACUUCAUCUCCACCGGAACUGGAGCCCUUCUGUUGUUUUUACCUUGCAUUCUUCUCCCACAUAUCCAGCUUUGAUCUCCAGCUUCUGUGUUGCUUUCGGUAUUGCCAUGCUUCUAGCAUGCAUGGUACCUGCUCUUCUUGUACAGAGCAAUUUUUGACAUGGCUGUUCGUAGUCGUAGCUAUAGUACUGGUACUGUUAGAAUUGACGUAGUAUCAGUAAGUAGAUAACACCUAUACAUGUAUAUAGCGUGUACUCAACUGUAUUGCGCACAUCAAUUAUUGAACCAUGCAUUGGAGCUUGCUCGAAGGGCGCGCGGCAUUGAUUGAAGCCGUUAGAAAACGUUGGUGGCGGUAGCAUAACGGCAUAAAUGUGGAGGUUUGUUGGAAGCAGCCAUGAUUGGGCAUGCUGCAAAGCUCGCGAGAGGCAUGGCGUGGUUGUCAUGUAUGGACAGAUUGGAGACUUUUGAGCAUUGUGUGUGGACCAUGAAUGCAUGUGUGCGUCCUGCCUCCCUGCCUGCCUGCCAAUCCCUCUCCCUUGCCAUUACUCUUGCUUACUCACGCACCCUCUCUCCCUGCACCAAUUGCUUUCUUUCCUACUGAAUCGCAUAUUUUGCACGGACCCUUUCGUUCAGCCCUGGGAGAUAUAUUGUCCAGAGCUCCCCUGCCUUGGCAUUCAGACAACAGCAACCUUGCUCGCUGCUCUAGCUUUGCUGCUAAACAUGGCCACCACGUCGCCGCCCAGGGCCCCCGGCCUGCUGCCUACUUCCGUGCAACCAGAGAGAUUCAGGCUUUCUGGCCAACGUCUUUUUCACUCUAACGAUUCAGUGAAAAACCUGAAAUUUCUACUGUUCGGUAUAGUUACCAUGAAACCGACCGAUAUGCGGUUGGACGCACGCAACGACUGGUGAGGAUAGUAGUAAUAGACCAGCUAGCUAGAACCAAUGAACAGAUUAUUCCGGGUACCUCGGCAGGCUCGGCUGGGCCUCUCUUUCGCCGGAAACAAACGCAAGAUUCUGGUUUGGAUUCAGGGGAUGGGCCGGCCACCGGCCACGUGAACAGAACAGUUCCAUCUUUUUCUGGCAUGAGCAUUGUUUUCCUGUCUCCCCUCUUCUCCUAUAAGUGGUCAAAAUGGAGAGAAGCUUUGGCCUGUACCUAACUAGGCAACUAAGGCAUAGCACAGCGUUUCACUUGCAGAUUGCAUUGAUGGCCUAAAAACACCAGGUUCGCUAGUCCUCAGACCCUUGAAUGUCAUCGUGUUAAUCAAUUUACUCACGAUUGGAUCGUCACGGAGAUCCGUACGUGCCAAUCCUUUUCCAUCGUCUCUAGCGAGGCCACCACAAUGCAAACGGAGGAAGUGCUGAUUAAUUGCGUUAUCAGACAGUGCUAAUUGGUGGGAUGCAUAAUAAUAAAAACUUGCCAGAUCCCAUUAUACUGAGAUGUGUGUGAAUACUUAUCUUACAUCUCGUUUGUCACCUAUCAUUUGCGCCUGAUAUCCUGAAUUUCAUUAUGGAUUACAACAACCAAUUUGCAUAGUUUGGCUGGCACAUAACUGGACACAUGCAUUUAUAAAAUCUGAAAUUUCACAGAAUCACACCCUAUAUCUAACCCCGGAUCUUCUCUAAGAGCCAUCAUUUCUCUGAAUUGUCUCAUUCUACAAAUUAAUGUGCAAAACAACAUGGAUUUUGAAUCUAGAAUUCAAAUUCAACAAAAUGAACAAAAUUUGGAAAUAAGGGUUGCCAAAUGGACAAUUACAGAUCCCCACAGAGAUUCGUUGUUUCUAUAUACCCAAAUACUUCAAGCUCAGCCCAUUACUCUUAUGGAGUACGCCCUCCGAUUUUAAAUUGUUGUCGUUGUUUUAGUUCAAAUUUAUACUAAAACAACGACAACAAUUUAGGAUUGGAGAAAUACUAGCUAGAUAACUGAAAUAUGUUAACUCGAAGUACCAAAAUGAUCAUGGGCGAUCGUAAAAAAAUGAUCAUGGGCGCAUUUUUUCUCACACAUUUUCAGGUUGUGAACUUUAAGAUGAAAUAAAGGCCAAAACAAAUACUCACGGGGCACACAUUAUAUUGCUACCAUGCCACCAUACAGGUUGAACAGAUCCCAUGCUAUCAUCUCCAACCAGAGUUCAUAGAAGUCCUCAUGUCAUGUUGCAGUAGGUACCAACGUAAAUCACUGCCUGAGGGAGGGGGACAGCAAGAUUCAAUUUUGUUUUUCUCUUAGACCCUUUCUUUCUUAUGCAACAAGCUGUGUAUUUUUACAUUUUGCCCCCUUAAUAUUUGUCUGUUCAUGCUUUUUUCCAACCUCCACCCCUGGAUCAGACCAAUGGGACACCUUAUGUAUAGCCUAGUUUAUUCGAAAAAUUGCCUGUUAAACACAAGGUCAUUUCAGCAAUUCAACAUCUACUAACAAACCUGGCUAAUGCUAUGAGAGAUUUCAGCAUUCGCCGGUCAGCCUAUCCCUGUAACCACUUUCCAAACUUAUUGAAAAUAUGACGAGACGGUGGAGAGUUAAAAACAACAAAGAUGACAAAUUUUAAAGCACUUCUAUAUACGAGUGUGCGAUGACAUAUAGCCUGGCUAGCUAACUAGUCUCCAACCAAUUUGAAUUUAUCUGGUGGAAGCCGACGAUUGAUUGAUGAAUGCAAGAGCGGGCGGGAGCGAGAUAAUACGCAUGCAAGUACUACAUACACAUGUGUCUACACUACUCUCGGGAGAAGCAAAUCACCUUUCCAACCCUUCUUUUUUUGGCCGGAUAGAUGUGUUUGGUAGAGACUAGCUAGAGAGGACCCGAUCGACAGGGCAUAUUUACUCAUGUUAGGUAACGAUGCAUGCGCCGGCCGGCCAUGCCUUCCCACGGACACCAGAUCGUUCGCUGCGUCCCGAACGGAGAUAAUCAGGGCAAGAUCGAUAUCUGCACCGGUCUAGUCACACAGUACCGCGCCUGCUGGUAUAUUGCCCAUCCACUGCACACACCUAUCUAUCUAGACUAUCCAUCUAUAUAUGCUUAUAUGCAUAUCUUAUGCAAAGAGGCCGAUCAGCGUCACGUCUCUGAACCACCCAUGUACACGCACAGGCGCACAGCUAUAGCUACCCUAGAGCUAGCUCCCUAGCUAGUUAGAUAGCUCUGGCUUUGCGUCGUUGGAACAAUUUCGGGCGUGUGAUUGCGUGUCGCUUUUCCUCAUUCAGGGCCGGUGCAAUCACCUUUGCUGCAGCUCUACUUGUGGAGGACGAGGAUGGAGUGGCUUGGCCAUAGCUCCUCCUACUAGCAACCUCCAGCGGCGUGCGUGGCCUUUGAAUGCUUGGCUUGGCUUUGGCUCUGCUGGGUGCAGGGUCGUGCCUCCUGGGUAAUAGGGUGUAUCCGCAUCUGUACUAACAUUGUCAAGUGUAUAUAAAUGGGCUUGCAGGUCUGGCACGUACUCAGCUAUCCGGACAGGCUAGGAGCUCAAAACUAUAGAUAAACAAUGAGUAGUCACGGAGACAGCAUUUUAUGGCAAUGGUAUCACAAAAAAAACAUAAUUGCGACUGACUUUCGCAGAUAACCACAAAAACUCUUAAAUAACUCUAUACAUCAAUUUGUGUAUUCUAAAAAAAUACUCUUAAAUAACUCAAAUUUAUCGGUUUAACGUGGUUAGCAGCUAUUUCCGACAGUUUGACCCACAUGUAAGUGACUGCGUGGGAAAAAAUUGGAACCUGACCAAACCAGCUGACUUAUAUAUAGCCCGGUUUAAAAACCUCCUCCAUAUGGUCAUUCUCAUUACUGUCUCUCCCUCGCCGGUCCUUAAGGUCUGGUUUCCGGUCCCCUGCGAGUCGGCAGGAAAGGGACCGAGCCCUCCUUUUGCGAUGGUCCUCGACGACGGGCUUCUCGGUCCGGCCGACGAGGGUGGCAAUUGUUGGCCGGGCUUCGGUAGGUAUGCCACCGGUGAUUGAUCAACGAGAUGAAGGAGAGAAGGAAGAGAGGCAAAAGCCCGACAUGCGUCGGAAGCGGUCAUGGUCAGCCACUAAACCGAAAGAUUUGAGUUUUUAGUACCUUACCAACUUAGGUGAGUUAUGUGAAGUCAUGUGUUGGAACUUUUUUAGUAAUAGAUAAAUUCACUUUUAGUCGAGACAAGAAUUAUGAGAUGACGAGAGCAAUGAAAUUAGUCACACGUGUGAUUUUGUGCUACCUUGUCACAAAAUUUUUGGUGUGAUGUUUACUUUUUCUUUACAAAACAAUUGCGAUUGAUAUGGCACUUAAAAUCGAGUGAACGGAGCCAAGAGCUCAGUUCGCUCUUUCUCUAGAUAAAAAAAAGAUACUACCUAUUUAGCGAAAAUGCAUGUUCAGUGUGAAUUUUGCGAAACUAAUGUGGAUAGCGGUUCAGAUCAAAGGUGCUUCCAGAAGUGUACGCAUUAUCCCACGUGUGUAUUGAAAAAAGGCUGUGACAAUCCAAGCGACUGAUUUUUAAGCAAAAUGUUUAAAUCUUAGCUGAAGUAGCAGAGCCGUCGGAUUAGCAUCUCGACGGCUUCGUAAUCCUUUCUUUCUUUCGUUCUUCCCCUAAAUCAUAAAGCAUGAUCCAGAUUUAACGACCGAGCAAUCAAUUGUCCCUGACUGCAAAUGAGGAUAGCAAAACCGUGAAAAAAAAGAUACAAAGACAAUAUAUACUCGGUGAUACGAUGGAAACUAGGCUGUCAAAAUUAAACAAUGGAAACUAGCACAAAUGGUUUUCUUAUUUUCUUUCCCCCCGCCGGAUAUGCAGGAGUAACAUCGUAGCACUAGCACACAUCAGGCUUGUGCUCCUCUUAUGGAAACACGGGAACCAAGCAGGGAGCUCUCUUUUGGCACAGUAUGGCACCACCGAGUCGACCACCAUCUCCACCAGUGACCAUGCCGCCAAGCAGCUAGCGCUUCGCCCUCCGGUCCAGCCAGCCGCACCCGCACCCGCACGGGCAGCUUCCUUUCUUUCUUUCCCACGGCCUCUCUCUGCCCGCUUUGGCCGCUAGCGAGCGCCUCUUUCCGCGCGAGAGAGACCGGCCGGGGCCGGGGCCGGGUCACGCGCGUACGUAACGUACGUGCUCCAGCAUCAUGCGCCCGGCCGGUACGUCUCCUUCACUGACCCAUUGGCGAUCGAGCGCACGAACGCGCCACUGUGGCAGGAUCAGCAGCACUGCUCACCCACCGGCCCGGUCUGCCUGGCGGAAAAAGAUUCGAUUAAUUGCCCUGAGCCCCUGACCGCCCGGGGGAUCCAAACGUUUGUUGUUCCUUCGAUCGGCUCCCCUCCCUCUAGUACGGAACACAAGUGCACGCACGUACGUACUUACGCGAGAUCGACCGAUGUUGUAGUACUUUACUACAAAGCAAAUACAGCACGACCACUCGUGUAUCAGCAGCGGUACAGCACAGUACGUACGUCUCUGUGCCACUACUUCCUACUGUACGUACGUACUACUACGUGCAACGCACACGUACGUGCUGCGGCUGUAGGGCCUGCAAGAGGGUUGGGUUGAAUUAAUAAUCGUCCGGCCGGGUUUGGACAAGAGCUAGCGUUCGUGCGUGCGUGCGUGCGCGCUCGCUGCCAGGACUGGUUCACAGGCCGCCGCACAGUUUGAAAAGAAAGGUGCCUGUAGUCGUUGCAGCUGGGCUCCUUCAGACAGACAGACAGAGAGACGGGCACACCGGCCGGGCGGAUAGCUUGCUUGCAUGCAUGUUUUGUCAAGGGGAUCAGGGAGUCAAGCAACCACGCCCCGCCCCUGCUGCCCUGCGUACGUGCGCUCUUCAUUUAAGAGUGAGAUUCUGCCUGAUCGAUCCGUCCAUCCCUGGCUUUGCUUAAUCGUUUUGCCUGCCUGUAUUUCCAUGUGCCAGGUACGUACCCAGGUAUUUGAGCAGCUACGAUCUUGCGUUGCAUGCUAGCUUGAUCAACCAAAAAACAUAUCAUUGUACCCGUAUCUGGCAGCAAUAAACAAAAAAUAUAUCUGGCGCAUGUACAUGAACAUUCAGACGUACCGGUUCCUUGCUGCUCACAGAGUGGGAGAGAGAGAAUGGAUGGAUGCGUGUGUUGUGUCCUUGCAAACCAACACACAUGUGGUGAGAUGACAUCUACACGUGCGGUGGGGGCUCUCGAUGCUUUGUUAAACUCGGUGAAAGCCAUGAGCGAUGGCAGGCGGUAGUAGUGGACAGCUGGGACAGUGACAAGCCUAGCGGUGCAGUAAAUAAUAAGAUCUUCUGCACCUCUCGUUUUACCGCACCCAACACACAAGGCUGCCAGCUGGUUCGUAAAUUUCACUGCCCACAUCUCGUCCAUGCAUGCAACAGGAAGAUUAGAUUACGUCGCUCGUCGGUCCUCGACUUGAAAUCUUGAAUACGUAGAGGACAAAACGGCAUGUCGAAUUAAUACGGUGUACCAGCAUGUAUGGGUAGACAGACACGUAUUCAUGAGUGUAUAAAGCAGAGUAUGAUGUUGAUUUCUCUGUACGGUUGGAUGUUCCGACGACCGAUUCCUGAUGAGUUAUAACUUAUACCAUGCCAACGGUUUGCUCCGGCCAACCCGCCGCGCGCGUGCAUGCGCGGUCCCCCAAAAGACCACGCAGCUCGAUCGAUCGCAACCUUAAUUCCUCAUACUGAUAAAUCUCCCUCUCACGCACGGGUUCGUACGGUUGUACCAUGCCAAUUAGGGUUGUGUUAAUGUGCUAUCUACAUCGGGCACACCAGUGCUUCUCCGGUUCGCAGCUGUAGCAGUACUACUCUCUCCGACCCAUAUUAUUUAUCUCAAAUUUGUUCAAAUAUAAAUAUAUCUGUGCUUAAAAAAGUCUGAAUACAUGUAAUAUUUCAUCAAGUAAUUUCGACCGGAGGGAACAGUAAAAGUUUGGCUAGUCUGAAUGAUCGAUGCUAAUCUGAGGACGUUAAUCAUUAUUGGCCUUAACGAGAAUAAUGUACUCCUAUUACACUUGUAUUGGGAGUGGCUUUACUCGGCGGCCCACGCCCGUAGGCACCGGCGGCCGUGCCUCGUCAUCCACGGGCAGGCGCCACGACGCGCAUAAAUAGCUGUCGGCGACCAGCGCGCAUGCACAACACCCCGCCGCGCGCGCAGACGAUCCCUCGCCUCGCCUCGUCUCACCAUCUACGGUCCUCCAGCUAGUAGCUAACCUAUCCAACAGUAAAAGGCAAAGCUCACACUUAGACGGGAGUAAAAAGAGUGCGAGUGAAGUGAGUGAUAGAGAGAGAGGCCUAGUAGCUGAUCUAGCCGUGCGUGGGUUCCUUUUAAAGUAAAACGAGCUUACAAGCUUGUGCUCCCUCCCGUCCAUCUCCUUCCUGCUGCUAGCUAGCUGCUUCCUCUCCUCUCUCCUCCAAGCUCCUUCAACUGGCCAGCCACUCACUAGCUAGCCGUGUCUUAGAUUGGUUGGGCGCAGCAAGAGAGAGUAAGGACUCGUAAUAGGUUAGCUGGGAUCCAUGCCUUGCUCGUCGGUGUCUCCUCCGUGGCUGCUCCGCGUGGCGGCCGAGCAGGCUGCAGCCGCAGCGUCGUCGUCUUCCUCGUCGACCAAGGGCGGCGGGCGCGUGCUCACGGCCACCAUGGACGACACGGGCGCCACCACGGGAGCCGCCGGAGGAUACAACAACAACGGGCAGCAGGAGAGCUGCAGCAGCGGGCAGUCCUCGAGGCAGCAGCAGCAGCUGGCUGCCCGCGGCCACUGGCGCCCCGCCGAGGACGCCAAGCUCCGCGAGCUCGUCGCCCUCUACGGGCCCCAGAACUGGAACCUCAUCGCCGAGAAGCUCGACGGCAGAUCCGGUAUACGCACAUCAUAAACCCCGCCGCGCAUUCCACUGACCCACGUCUGUUUAACUUAUUUAACUUAUAAAGUUUGUUUGAUUGUAAUAUGGGCCGGGCAGGGAAGAGCUGCAGGCUGCGGUGGUUCAACCAGCUGGACCCGCGGAUCAGCAAGCGGCCGUUCAGCGACGAGGAAGAAGAGCGGCUGAUGGGGGCGCACCGGUUCUACGGGAACAAGUGGGCCAUGAUCGCCAGGCUCUUCCCGGGCCGCACCGACAACGCCGUCAAGAACCACUGGCACGUCAUCAUGGCCCGCAAGUACCGCGAGCAGUCCACCGCAUACCGCAGGCGGAAGCUCAACCAGGCCGUCCAGCGGAAGCUCGACUCCUCAUCCUCCUCUUCCGUCCUGCCGUUGUCUACAGCCGCCGCCGGACCAGGAGCCGGGCACGUCGACUUCCAACAGCAGCAGUUCGACUACUCCGCCGGCGCCGAUGGGUUCAGCUUCCGGCACUACUGCUUCCCGCCUUUCCACGGAGGCUCAGGCGCCGCCGCCAUCGCUGCAGCCUCGGUCCAGGAGCCUUCCUUCUGCCUGUUCCCCGGUGAGUAACUGCAUUCGUUCGUUCGUUCGUUCCCGGCUGCUGACACUGACUGGUGGGCUCUCACACAAACUCCCUGCUGAGUGCUGAUCGAUUAUUCUAGCGGACCGAGCUUUGCUCACCGUCCGCUGACAAGCUUUCCCAGGCGCACGCACACGCACACCGUGCCGAUCAACUCUCUCAUCCUAUUCGUACGAACCACAUUCUACUGUAGGUCGAUCGAGCCGGGUUAACGGAGCCCCGGUGCUCGGGUCCCUUAUUGGUACUACACGGUAGUACUAACACGGCCGGCCUCAGCUGUUUCGUUGCUUACCCUGCCAGUACCUCCACCGGCCGGCAGCCGAAUAAAUGCCCUUGCGUCAAACAUGCAGCAUGUGGGGGGGAGAGACGAUGGAUACAUAGAUAGAUCGAAGACCAGGUACUGGCCGGGAAGACUUGGACUUCCUUCCUCUCCCCAACGGCGCACGUACAGUGUUCGUUCGACAAGCAGCUAGUAGCACAGUGAUCUCGCACACGCGCGCGUACAGGGGUUUGGCAGAGAUCAGGCGAUGGCGUACACGAGCCGAGCAGUAAGCUUUCACCCAACCACUGACCAGUAGUAGUAGCCCGGACGGACGGACGGACGGACGGACACUGUGGUGGAUGGACGGACGGACCGAUAAAACUUGCCACGGCCGUGCGUGGAGGAACAGGGACAUGGGAGGAACAGCGGUAUGGGCGGGGAGAUCAUCUGCCGCAUCAUAUCGAUCCCCAUAAAUGCCCCCACCACCCUCUUAUUUCCUCACCUGUAUAUAUAAUGCCUUCUCCUGUUCAUCAACUCGCGUUUCUUUCCUUGAUUUCUCACUUCCUCGAUCGGUUGAUGUCGUUGGAGUUUACUACCGUGUAAAAGGGUCCAAGUAAAGUAACUGUAAAACUAACGCGGUGGUUCUUGAAUCUUGACUUCUUGUUGUGUUUGACCGCAUGCGCGCAGGGCCCAGCGCGGCAUUGGUGCACGACGGGCGCCUGAUGACCGGCUGGGGAGGAGGUGAUCAAGGGAUGGGCCUCGCCCGGUACGGUGAUGCUCCGCCGCCGUUCCUGCUGCCGGCGUCGCACGGCGGCUGGAUCGCCGGCGGCGGCAGCCAUCAUGAGUUGGCGCGGUUCAUCUCCGACGAGGCAAUAAAUGGACCGCCGGCGGGCGCGGCGAGGGAUCAUCAGCAGCAGCAGCAGCAGCAGGGCGCGCACUUCGACUUCGACCAGGCCGCGGCGUCGCCGACAUUCAUAGAUUUCCUUGGGGUCGGCGCCACAUGAUCGAUCGAUACACCGACGCACGCACGCAUGCAUUGAUCCAUCGAUUCGAUGCAGAUUUAUGCUCUAUACUUAUCAAUUAGCACAAGCGUGAGUGCAUGCAUGCAAGCAGGAGGUGGAUCUAGCUAGGACGGGUACUAGCUCUAGCUUCUAGUUAGCUCGCUGUAAAACUACACAUGCUUGGCAAGCUUGCAGUCUUAGUGCUGCUCCUCGAUCUAGCUAGAUAAAAGCUGCAUGUGUAGUAUAACUAGUAUAGGUAUGUUCUGUCUGAGGUAGAUCAAGUUAGGAAUUUGUAGCUGGCCAAGGUUGUGUUUGAUUUGGAACUUUUUGGUGGAGGAAGGAGCAUGAACUUUGAUUAUUUGGGAUUUACUAGCUCUAGCUCCAUAUGAAUAACGCAAGUCUUGCAUCUGAUGCAUAAAAUGAGCUUUGUUUGAGCUUUAGCUCUAGAGGAGUACUGAUUAAUUCUUUUGGUCCUUAAUUAGUUGGUCAAUUUUAUUGGGAGGAUCUAUUUCUCAAUCGACUUUUUAGUCGUUAAUUUCUUACUAGUCGACAAUCAUAACUAUCUGAUUAAGAAUUUCUCGUCUUUGUACUUGCAUGAAUUUUAGGCAAGAGACGGUUGUUUAGUAUCAAUUCAAAAAUAGUUAUUUCUUGAUCGUUUUAGAAAUUAAUAGCAAAAAAAACGAUUUAAUAAUUGCCCAAUGUAGAUGACAAGGGACCGGCUACCUGUAGCUAGAUGUGUGGACUAGUACUGUCAGUACAGUCUAGUCUGCUGUUACUGCUUCUAACUAACUAAAACUAAUACUGUUAGUUCUUUGAGACUAUUAAUUGCACUCACGUGUGAUUUAAGAUCUUAAUGACACACGUACUGUUCGUCAUACUCAUGCUGAAAUGUUUCCUUCAAUUCAAAUUAAAGGUUGUUAUACAGAGAGGAUGUUUAUCAAUUUUUUCCCGCAAAGUUUAAUUUUAUGCAAAGCUGUAGUAUAAUACGUACUCCCGUUAGGUUACCUGGCAAAAAGUCACAACAUGCAUGUAUCUAGCUACUAAUGAACUUUCUUAAUUUAGAUCUUGAGUUACAAGGUAACCCUGAUGGAUUGGGUGGGCCGGCUGUGGAGCUAGCAUUAAUUAUUGUCCUGUGUUAGUUUGACAAAAAAUCUAAGACCCAGCACUGCUCACAAGGGAGAAAAUUCGGCACGUUCUUCUCUUGUGUUUGUUAAUCUAGCCAGGUGUUCAUUUUCUGAAGCGACUUGUGUUGUUCUAGCUGGUAGUAGUACAGUACGUGUUUGUAAUAAAUUAUGGGAUUGUUUGCAUAUAUGCUAGCAAGAUUGUCAUGCUGCGCGCAGUUCGUAGGCAUUGAAUGAAUGCAGCCAUGGUCUCAGUUGAGUAGAAAGGGACUGCUCGAUUCAGUUGAGACGUCUCACAUCUCAGAUACGUACGUGUUUCAUGUCCAGGCGGGUUAUAAUGGACUUGUCUCUUUUAGAGAGUGAAAUGGGCUAGCUAUAACUACAAACGUAGCCUUCGACCGGGCCGCAGACCAACUGUUGCGAUAAUCACGUAGGAUCCAUCGAGUGGCUUUUACAUAAUUGGGGGUGCCAGAGCGCUACCUGUUAAUUUCUUAAUCAAGCCACAAAACUGGUAUACCUUCGAAAAGGUUGCAACUAAACCGAUAUAUAUUUUACUGCGCUAACGAAAAUUAAAGUUCCAAAUUUUGCACUAAAAUCACGAUAAGUAUUUAGAAACAGAUGAAAUAACGUGUAAAACUGACCAUUAGACAGUACAACCUUUUUUUUUUGUACAGGGCAACUUGCAUUUAGAGCCAAAAGAGCGCCGGGAGGUGAUCGGUGAACCCCUAUUUGCUACCUGUUGCGGCAUACUAUGCCGCACAAGGCCUUAGCACUAGCUUAAUUGGGCCGGACCGGUACCUCUCUUUAUGAUUUUGUCUUUGUUUCUUUGUUACUACCUUAUUCCUGGUCAUUUUCGUUCGUGCUUGUAUCCAUCAUUUUGCUUUAUUUUAGCCUUUUCUGGACUUGUUAACUUGCUCCACUCCGGUGUAAUAAAGGGAGGAGGUGUAUUCCGAUCCUAUGCGUUCCGUUUAUGGGGAACAAAAGUUCUGUCCAAGUUCUUUUGCCGGCCGGUUUAGAGCGGGAUCGAGGUCGAUGAUCGGUUGCACAAACGCUGAAACGCCAGUCGCCAACCUAUAUGUAGCGACAUGUAUAGCGUGUUAGAUGACUUGCUGUGAUCCCGUCGCCCACCUCCCGACGCUCUCUACAACAGAUCGUGUGUUACACCUGCAGUUAUCAUCUGUAAUCUAUAUAUACUUCAUGCACUGUACUCGGUUAAUGCAAUACAAGCAGUUCCUCUUCACAAAUUAUCAUAGCGGCCAUCGAAAACGAUUUGACAUGUCGGCCACAUGCAUGCAUCGCAACGCACGCAAAGGCCGGCCGAGAGCCAGCAUCAAAUUAACCCGUACGUACGUACGUGCUGGGAGGAACUAACACGAUGUUGAUCUCUACCGGCGCCUAGCUAAGCUAGCUUGUACGGUCCCUGCAUGCCGGCAAAUACGUACGGGACGUACGGCACACUCAUAAUUAACUCGCCGUCUCUUUCUUCCGGCCGGUGUCUAGAUGCUCGGCACGGCCGUACGCGAGCCACAACGGCGACAAGCAGCUAGCUAGCACGGCCACGCACUUGGUUAAGCUAGCACUUGUUCGCACUACAAGGUUUUCAUCCUUUUGCCACGGAAAUGUUAGCCACAAGAUGAAUUCGGAUGCAAUAGAUAGGGUAUACUGCAACAUUAUUCAGUGUUGGUUGCGAUAUGGGGUCUGGUGGUUGCAAUAGCGGGUAAUGUUGCAACGGAUUUGUAUUGUUGUGUUUUCAAUUAUUGGGGUUGCGAUAAUUAUGACAUAUCGCCCCGAUACAUGUUUGUGUUGCCUUAAGAUCUGCGUUAUUGCCACUUGUUAUGUAAGGGUUGCAAAAGAGCAUUUGGUACAGCAACAAUUGUUGGGUGUUGCCAAGGACCUAUUUGAUAUAACAACGCCAAUGGUACCUGCUGCAAAAGGAUUUUCUAUGGCAACCAAUAUUUCCUGGUUGCGAAUGACCCAUUAGAAAUAGCAACGUAAAGCUGAAUGGUGGCAAACGCUUAUUGGAUAUAGCAACCAAAAUCAGAAUCGAUGCAAACGUGCCAUUAGAAAUGGCAACAUGACGUAGUCGUUGCAGAAACAUAUUUUUUUUAUAGCAACGCAACCCUUAAUGGAUGCAAGAGAGUUUUCGAUAUAGCAACCAUGCUCUUACUGGGUUGCAACAAUCGGAGUUCCAUUGCAACACAUGUAAGCGGUCGCUAUUUGGUAAGGCAAAAAAAAGAAAAAAUCACAACCCUUUUUUUUAUAUGGGACCGAUCGGGUUCUGGUGUCCACCAAGUGGAGAACCGGCGGGGAGAUAACGGAGACAGGCGCAGUGUGCCGGCGGAAUUAUGAAUUAGUUGCACGUUUGUGAACAUGACAUUAAUUUGAGCUGCGGAGGCACAUAUUUAUAAUAGAAUAAUAUAUUUUUAUAUAAAUACUGUAAAAAAAUAAAAAUAUGCUGCCAACAAAUGAGACUUCAUGAAACAAAAGCAACCCAACGAUACUGGAAUUGGUAGGUCCAAUCUGUCAAUUCCCGUCCGUGUUUGCCGGAAGCCCGCAACUGGCCCAGCCCAACCGACGCACAACCCAGUUGAAACAAAUGUUCAAGAACAGGCCCAACGAUGUAAAAAGGAUAAAAAAAUUGUUUUCACCUCAAUAGCAAGCAAGAGUUGAUAGCUCAGGUGGCUAGCAGGUGCAUCCUCAUGGGAAGAGAUAGGUCGUGAGUUCGAUCCGGUUUGGCCUAACCGUCCGGUUCGCCGGUUUUCAGUAAAACUGCCCGGUUCACCCGGUUUUCUUCGGUCCAGUCGCCCGUCCGGUCCAACACCCGGUUCAUUUUUCCAGAACAGCACACACGAAGGCACGCACACAGCCUUGCCUAACCCUGACUAUACAAUGUGUGUCCAACACCUAUUAGAAUUGCUCAUGUGAGUAUACCUAGAUGCAGACUAGAAUUUGUGUCCAACACCUAUUAGGAUUGCUCAUGGUACUGCAUCUAUAUAUAUUGGACAAACUUGCUUGUAAUUAAACAGCAACCCAGAAAAUCGAGAGGAGAAGAAAAGCAGACGCACGUACGAUACGUGAGACGAUGCCUCCUGCAGGCUUACGUAUUGUACUGUACGAGGACACCGAAGCUGUAAUGGCUGCUAGUCUUAUGAGUAUUUGUGUUGUAGGCUGUAAUGGUUAUUAGUCUUAUUUGUUAUGGACUUAUUAUAUAAUGUUGUACACAUGCUUUACUUGUCAUCUACUUGUCAUCUUUUUGCAUACAUGCUGCCUAUUUUUUUCACCGCUAACGAGCUUAACAAGCCCCCGACGAGCGCUCGUGAGCAGUAAACGAACUGAGCCGAACAAGAUUUAAUGUUCGUUAAGGUUAACGAGCAUAAAGAGCCGAAUUCUUAACGAGCCGAGUUCUUAACGAGUUCUUAACGAGCGAGCUCUUAACGAGUGAGCAUGCUCGUUAGCCAGGCCUACUUGUGAGGGCUUACAACAACACAUGUGUGCUAAAAAAAAGGAUGGUUAUACCUGGGACGAAUGAUUUUUAAGCAAAAAUCUUAAAUCUCAAUAAAUGCAUUAUAACCAUUGGGUUAAGAUCCGGUUGCCAUCCUCGCUCGCUCCUCUAACACGUGUUGUACAUCAUUAUAUUACUCUAUUAAGACUCAACGGACCAGCACGUCGACCUAUCUCUAACUAAAAGCAGACGACUUCUUCUUAGCAAAUAAGUAAAAAAAAUAGUUUUUCAGGUUUGAAGCUUCAAGCUUUGGCUAAAAUUUUCAAACUGAUCAAAAAAAUACUUUAAACUUAUCGAAACACAAUCGGUCUUCUGGGUGGAGACGAUCGACAACAGUCUCAUCAAGCCGGCCAGCAGCUUCGUUUUCUCGUACUACUGUUUGGAAAUGAAGCAAUGAUCAUAAGCUCCUUUCAAAAUAACACUUGCGUGUGGCUGAAAUGGCCAUUAGCCUAGCUACUCCUCAAGCGCUGAGCGGUCGACGCUGCUGUGAUUCGCGCCGGACCGACAUCUUCUGCCUCUCGGGACUUCUCCUUUUGUUGCAGGCCCGCACGUGGUGGCGUGACUGACUGACUGAUGGAUGGAUUGCAGGCGAGUUUGGCCAUGCGCACGGACGCGCUUUCCAUCGAGUUGCCCGUACCGUGUCAGCCAGAAGGGGCCAGGAUUAUUAUUGCUAGCUAUAGCAUCCUUUUUUUUUUUCUGUUUGCCGAGACGGACGUGACAAUAGCGCCUGACCAGCCGCGCAGGGGAUUCUUCGCUGCGUUGUACGUACGUUCCAUCGCGUCCGUGCGUGCGGCACCACUGUUGCCACGUUCGUGCGUGACGCAAUGGACUUAUCCGUGGCCUGGCCGGCCGUGUUGUCACGUACGUGGAUCUAUCUACUAAUGGAGCGGCAGCGCUGCCAUAAGUAAACAGCAAGACUGGCCGGGGACAUUUCUUCCGCCUUCCUCCGUGGCAGCACCGGUGCUAUCUUUCAGAAACAGCAGGGCUUUGGGGACUUCCGCUGUAGUUACCCAAGUCUGGUCAGGAUCAGGUUACCGGUAUUUAUGUUGGGGAUACUACAGGGUUUGGAGGCGUCAUGAGUCCUCUGAAAAGAAAAUCUGAAUCGCACCUUCUUCUUUUUUUAAUCGAGUUGUGGAAAUGUUUUAUUACCAAUGUAUUUAUGUCUCCGAACCUGGACCUGUUGUCACGAACCACGACCGUUGGGUCAAUCUCAUCGAACCAGUUAAAAAAAUGAGUAAAAUUAGACAUGUAACUUUAGGAUAUGUUUGGUCCGUAACUAGUGUUGCCACAACUAAAAUUAUGCAAAGUUUGUCUGCCACAACAAGUGUAGUGAAAAAAAUGGCUGGCAAGGUGGAUCAUAUGGCCAGAAAAGUAUGGCAAUGAACCAAACAUAUCCUCAUGUAGUCAUGUGUUGUGGCCUGGCUAAGAUUAGAUGCGGCCACAUUUUAACCCCAAACCAAACAAGCCCGUCAGAAACAUGUGGUGUUCACCAGUAAUACAAAACCUAGCGAUCGGGUCGUUCCUCAAUACUGUAAAACCAGAUGCAUUUCUUCAGAUGGGAGAUUCUCGGGGGGGCGUCUGCGGCGUGCAGCCACACCUUUGUCGCGGGUGGCUUUUGAGUCCUACCACAUCAGGUCUGUUUGGCUGUGGCCUGUGGGUGCUGGCUGCCAUAGCGUACUUGUUUGCUUGUGGUGCUGGCUUACUGGUUUGGCACUUUGGCUGGCGCUCGGUACCGCUGGAUGUUUUGGUUUAUUUCCUGCAAGGCUGCGAACUCAUACACUUGGUUUUCGUUAAUGAAACUGGGAACCCUUUAAUGGAAAAAAGAGGUGGUUUCCGAGUCGCUUGUCUUUUCCCGAAUUGCUAAUUAUAUCACAAUGAACAGAACAUAUGAUGAAGUCUGAACAAUAUUACAUAUGGGCUCAGCCCACUUGAAAAAAAGAGAGGCUAUGCUUGUGUGUUUGAAGCAAUAAAUCCGGUGAUCCAGUGAGAACAAUGCCUGUCUAAAUUCCAAGCUGAGUUCACCGUGUGAAAUAACAAAUUUUCCUACAUCAGAAAGUACACAAAGUUGUCUUCAAGAUUGAGGCCAUCCUGGAACUCUCUGUACUGUAGAGGAUUCUUUUGAGGAGAUGAUAUCUUGUAAGUCCUGUGGUGAUAAUAGCUUUGUAGAAGGCUCAAAGUCAUUAUCAUGGGAGAGCGCUGUUUCUGGCCCUGUUUGUUGGAUUGUGAAGUGCUCGCUAAGGGCGGCAAUUAGCCCUUCGGUAAAAACUGACCUUGAUGGCAUAUACUCGUUCAUGCGGCAUAAGAAAUCUGUGUGGUUCCGCGCCUGAAAAAUAUAGGAGCCAUUUAAUUUGGAAAUCGUGGGAUCAAAGCUAAUCAGUCAAACUACACAAGCAUUUUAUGCAAGCCAGACCGUUGCAGCCAAUACUGGUGAUAAACCAGUAUGCACUACUCAACUCACUGCUUUCAGCUAGCUACUUUGUUCAAGUAUCCCCAAAGAAACGCUUACAUUGAAAUACCUUGAAUCAUUCACACUUCAGGUUUCAAUACAGGUAAAAUUGUAAACCGCAAUCUCACUCUUACACUUUCUUACUGCCUCUCGAUGGAACUAUCUUCUAAAAUUAGAAUUAACUGAUUAGUGAAAGCUGUUCCUGGGUAAACUAGGACAACGAUCGCACCAAGAUUUGGACGUGUAUCUAUUCUAAGCAGAAAUUUCCAUAUUCAGCAGAAUUCAGCUGUCACUUAGGGUACAAUAAAACCACCUGAUCGAAAAACAUCUAAGUAAUCCACUGCCAGUUGUUCAGUGGUUUACAUAGCCUGUCAUCCUGAGCUGUUCAGGAAAUAGUAGGAAAGAUAGCCACUGGCCAACUACUCAUACCUCAACUUGAUUCGCUAUGUUUGUGGAAAUAUACCAACACUGAUCAACCUUAAAUUUGAUAAAGAUAACAAACCACAAAAACUGAUAUCCAGACAUACUAGCCAGAGUUCAAGUUUAUGAAUUCCACGAUCUGUUUAAAAGGUUAAAACUUUAAUGAACUGGUAAUUGAUUGGAGGAAAAAUAUAACGGAGAGAACUUACAAGCCGAUAUUCAGGAGCACGUUUUGGGUUUUUAAGAUAAUUCAUAUUUUUGACGUCAUAAUCCCAUAAGAAUGAUGUGUGAUGUACCCAACGAUCUUUUGUUAUGGACUGAGCAUUUCCACCAAAUUUUCGAUGACUAAAUGCAUAGUCUGCAAAUAUUAAGACAAGUUUAGUCUUCAAAAAAUAUGCAGAGCAAGAACAUUACUGGCAUCCCCAAGUAUUCAUUCAAAUUCAUAUACCAGAUCCAGGAUCAAUCUUUUAGGAAUAUAAUUUCAAAUUUGGAAUGAGAUAUGCUAAAUAGACAUAGUAUCAAUAGAACUAGUAGAAAAUGACCCAUUCAAUUGCUUUGAGAAUCCUUGCAAAACAAUACGUAAAUACAAAAGGACUAUAACAUAUUGACAGAGGAUGUUUAAACUUUGAAAUAACAACUAUAUGUUUCAACGAAAAUUAGAUUUUUUUACUUGCAUGAUAUGUGAUUCCACGGCUCUCUUGUAAUCAGUGCAAUGUAAAGUUGUAGGUUAUAGAGACAAGUUUAGUGUGCUGCAACUGGUCAAUAUUCGAUACAUGGGAAAUGGGGAACCCUGAGCCAUCUAGAGACCUAAGUACAAUCAACAAAAAUAGUAUAAACAAUAGAUAAAAAUAGUAUAACAGGAGAGAAGAUGAAACAGAAACUAGCGAUCAGUGAUGUACACCACCAAUUAAAUGUUCGAGACAAUGCAUAAUCAAAGGCAUGAUCGAGCACGAUGAAGGUUCUAGUUGACUAAUAUCAAACAAUGAGACUGACAUUAAACUGGAUGAUGGUGAAAUGCUGUGCUGAUUUGACAUACCAUUUUCACGCAGCUGAAAUUCACCAAACCCGUGGAACACUUUACCAUAUAGCUGGCCUGUCCAUGACAUGAUGUCGCGAGGAAACGGCUGCAACCCAGUGACAGCAGUCUUAUUGCAUAUGAAGGUCACGAACACAGUUCCCUGAUCAACAAUGACAGUGCCACCUCCACUGAAUCUCCUUACAACUGGCACGUUAUCCCGAAGAACAGGCUCUACCUCAACAAGUUCAGAGACUUUCCUGUCGACAAGGAAACCACAUUAACAACUGAACUUCACUAGGCACACACAAACGAAGGAAAAAUGCUGAUGAAACCAAGAUGAUAUACCCGGAGACACCCAUGACAAUGGUGGGAGGAGCCGUGCCGUCAUUGACAAUACACCAGUUGUCACUGGUGCGACGCAGCAACCGUUCUUCCAGGUGCAGCUGCUGCAGGAUCGGUGCGCCGCCCAUGCUUAUCAGCCUCAUGAGCGGCCUUUGCACGUUCCUCUCGACGACGGACCCAAAAGCCAUUAUUGACUGUAUGACGUCAAACUCACGGGCGGAGGACCCAGUAGGGCAACCGCCCUACCUUGUUUUUCGACUCAGUUACGAAUUGGGGGAGAUUAAGGAGGUCAAACGGGGAGCUAAAGGGCGGUUCGUGGGGCGAUGGGAGGAGAAACGGUCGGGAGCAAGAGAAUCGAAGGGUAGAUCAACCGGCGGUGGCGGCGCUCGCGCGAGGACGCCGAGGAAGACGAGCGAGGGGGCUGGGGCGCUCGGCAGCGAGAUGGGCUAGAAGGAGGGAGGGGAGCGGCCCAGGAAGGAAAAGAAGAAGAAGGGAGACAUUGGGUGCGGCCCAUAUGGUCAAAGGGAGGCCAAAAAAUAAAGUUUCAGACAAAGUAUGUUGCCGAACACCUCGUGUUCAAGCUUUGACUCCUUCAGAUUCCCCUAAAAAAAAGGCUCCUUCAGAUUGCUACAGUGCAUUGGGGGACACCCAGCCAGGACCAGCUAAGCUCGGAGGCCAACAAUUGACUACCGUUCAAGGUUCAGGUUGUGCUACAGUUCUACUACAGAGUAGUUUUAGUUGGCAAACAGUUUAGGUAAACAAACGAUGUGUCGGUUGAGCUGAAAUUUGGUCAGGUUGUUGGAAACUCAUGUGUAUGCUUUGUCUUGCCAAAUUUCGUGUAGUUUGGACCAAGGUUUGUGAGUAGUUUGACAAAUUAUCGAAUGGAACAAAAUGUGUUGAUUCUGCACUUCCGUUGUCCUACCCUCUUGUGGUUGUUACUGUGGUUAGCGAUUUGUAAUGUUUUAGCGUUUGUUGUAAUCUAUAGAGGUUCUAGAGAAAAUUAUGUAUCAAUUUGCUUAUAUUGGAAGUUGCAUGACCGGUUGAUCUAAAACCAUGUGUUUUUUUUAAAAAAAAUACAUGUUUUUCACUCCUCACCUUGACAUUUUUCUACCUUAAAUCUAUGUGCAUCUUGAUUUCUUAUUUCCAUCGUUAUUUGUUGAUUGAAGCUAUCCUUCAAAUUUACCUUAGGUGGAGCGAAGAAUUGGUUUGUGUUUGGUGUCCUCUUGCAUACUUCAUGCUACACUGCUACCUACUUGUUACGAUUACUCUUUAGAUCUUAUGAAAUGACACCUAGUAGUAAAAAGGCUUCCUGAUAAGGAAUAUGCAUUUUUUAAACUCAAAAGGAAUUUAAUAUUUGGAACAAGUCAAGGAAAGCAGGAAUUUCAGAAUCGGAAGAGUAGAGCAUUCAGCAUUGGGUCUGGAUUAGCUAAUUUUUGUCAUCACCUGCUCCCUCCGUUCUGAAAUACAGGACAUACAUGUUUUUCAAAAUUUAACUCCGACAAACAAUUAGUACACCUAUACAUUUAUAUACUUGUAUUGUGUGAUAUACAAUUGUCAUUAUUGGCCACGUACAAAGGAACUUUUCAUUGAUAUCAAUUUUAUACUAUGAACUAAUCCAUGUAUAUAUAUUUAGACAAAUUGUUGGUCAAGGUUAAAUCUUGAAAAAAAACAUGUGUGCGCUAUACUUUUAACGCGAGAGUAAUUUUUUUGAAGUCACUUUAGCUAGGAAUUAAUAAUCUUUAAUUUCCAUAUCCGAGAAAUCGAGCCACUUGGAUAUAUACAAGCGCAAAAAAAAACAGUUAAUUAAUAAGCACAAUGCUAUUAGGCACAACAAAGAUCAUCAUCGUCACAAGAUACUACAGCACUGAACCAUCAGCUUCCUCUGUAAUGUACAUACCAAUCACAUCCACUCCUCGAUCCACCAUGCAUCCAUACACAUAGCAUGCAUAACACUAGCACGGAGUAGUACUUUACAACACAAAUUAAGUGCAUUGUCGACCAUUUCAACUAGAGAGACAUAUCGUCCCAUCAAUCAAUUUUACAUGCAUGCAUCAAUCUGCCUCCAGCACCAGCAGGCACACGUCGACUUAAUUAGCCGGAGAAGGUCUGGAUGAUGGUGUUGUGCCACGGGUCAGACAGGUGCUGGAACAGGUUGUCGAGCGGCCCUUUUCCGGUGACCGCGUGCUGCACCGAGAAACCCAGGUACGCCAGCAUCGCCAGCCUCCCUACAAAAUCACAAAACGACCAAUUAAAUUCCUUUUCCGUUUGAGAUCUGGCCGUAGGAACUACUCCAGUAACUGGAAGAAGGGCAUGUAUGUACCGUUGGCGAUCUCCUUCUCCUUGGCCUCGAGCGUGGGCGCGAAGUUGAGCGGGUUGAAGACGCUGCCGGGGUAUCCGCACUCGUGGGGCGGCAGGCUGUAGCUCUUGAAGAUGGGGUCCUGGUUGACGCAGCCGGGCUCCUUGAUGUCCUGCCACCGCCGGAUCUCCACGUAGUGGAACAGGAUGAACUCCACGACGAAGAGCGUGGAGGAGGAGGCGAAGUAUGUGGACUUGCCGGCGUCGUACCACUCGGGGGCGUUGAUGAGGCCGAUCUUGGUCAGCAGCUCCGGCGUCAGCAUCCCCGCCACGCCCAGCAUCGCCCACCGCCCGUUCACCAGCUCCGCCUGCACGUACCACCGCAGGUUCUCCGGGUCCUCCGCCAGCCCCAACGGGUCGAACCCGUUGUCACCCGGCAGCCUGCGUCAAAUUAAUUAAUAUGCAUGUGUGUAAGCACCACUGACAGUGUUCGUUAAAUAUUUGGCCGGUUUUAUUGUAUGGAAUGUGCCAACUUACUUGCCGUCGAGGUAUGCAGGGGAGGGGAGGCCGGGGAGCCACUCGCCCUUGGCCUCCACCCGGAGGCUGCGCCGGCUUGUCGAGGAGGCGAGGCCAAGGCGGCUGGAGUGUCCGAGGAAGCCGGAGUUGAGCGACGCCGACGGGCGCAAGGCCGCCACGGGGGCGCGGGCG